AUUAGGCUGAAAAACAAUGCAGA
rnacentral:piRNA from 1 species